ACUGUUUCUGGGUGGUCAUUACAAAAGGAGCAAUUUGAGUUGAUGUUUUCCUUAAACUUCUUCAUAUAGUGGUUGGCAGGAUAAUAAUUAUGAAUAAUUUUAAAGGAAACUUCCUUAAUUUUGUUAACAAGUAGGUAUGUUUGUGGCAACAUCCAAACUUUUUUCCAACAGAUAUUAUCAAUAAAUCCAUUCCAAUAAGGCAUGACAUAAAGUAUAGAUACAACAUCCUGCUGAAACAACGAUCGUAUCGCUCUGUUGUUGAAUGGACCAAAAGAGAAACAAAUAUUUCCUACUGAUGAGUCAACAGGGUCAAUAGAAGGUCGGCUCUGAGGGUCAGGUCUUUCCUACUGAUGAGUCAACAGGGUCAACAGAAGGUCGGCUCUGAGGGUCAGGUCUUUCCUACUGAUGAGUCAACAGGGUCAAUAGAAGGUCGGCUCUGAGGGUCAGGUCUUUCCUACUGAUGAGUCAACAGGGUCAAUAGAAGGUAGGCUCUGAGGGUCAGGUCUUUCCUACUGAUGAGUCAACAGGGUCAAUAGAAGGUAGGCUCUGAGGGUCAGGUCUUUCCUACUGAUGAGUCAACAGGGUCAAUAGAAGAUAGGCUCUGAGGGUCAGGUCUUUCCUACUGAUGAGUCAACAGGGUCAAUAGAAGGUCGGCUCUGAGGGUCAGGUCUUUCCUACUGAUGAGUCAACAGGGUCAAUAGAAGGUAGGCUCUGAGGGUCAGGUCUUUCCUACUGAUGAGUCAACAGGGUCAACAGAAGGUAGGCUCUGAGGGUCAGGUCUUUCCUACUGAUGAGUCAACAGGGUCAAUAGAAGGUCGGCUCUGAGGGUCAGGUCUUUCCUACUGAUGAGUCAACAGGGUCAAUAGAAGGUAGGCUCUGAGGGUCAGGUCUUUCCUACUGAUGAGUCAACAGGGUCAAUAGAAGGUCGGCUCUGAGGGUCAGGUCUUUCCUACUGAUGAGUCAACAGGGUCAAUAGAAGGUAGGCUCUGAGGGUCAGGUCUUUCCUACUGAUGAGUCAACAGGGUCAAUAGAAGGUCGGCUCUGAGGGUCAGGUCUUUCCUACUGAUGAGUCAACAGGGUCAAUAGAAGGUAGGCUCUGAGGGUCAGGUCUUUCCUACUGAUGAGUCAACAGGGUCAAUAGAAGGUAGGCUCUGAGGGUCAGGCCUUUCCUACUGAUGAGUCAACAGGGUCAAUAGAAGGUAGGCUCUGAGGGUCAGGUCUUUCCUACUGAUGAGUCAACAGGGUCAACAGAAGGUCUGCUCUGAGGGUCAGGUCUUUCCUACUGAUGAGUCAACAGGGUCAAUAGAAGGUAGGCUCUGAG